AACCCUCCGAAAGGAGGGCUAAUACCGCAUGACGCCAGCAAUGGCCAAAGCGGGCCUCUCCAUGGAAGCUCGCGUUUGAGGAUGAGCCUGCGGCCCAUCAGCUCGUUGGCGGGGUAACGGCCCACCAAGGCUAAGACGGGUAGCUGGUCUAAGAGGAUGAACAGCCACACUGGAACUGAGACACGGUCCAGACUCCUACGGGAGGCAGCAGUGGGGAAUCUUGCGCAAUGGGCGAAAGCCUGACGCAGCGACGCCGCGUGAGCGAUGAAGGCCUUCGGGUUGUAAAGCUCUGUGGGGAGGAAAGAAUAAGGGCGGGCCAAUACCCCGUCCGAUGACGGUACCUCCUUAGCAAGCACCGGCUAACUCUGUGCCAGCAGCCGCGGUAAGACAGAGGGUGCAAACGUUGUUCGGAAUUACUGGGCGUAAAGCGCGUGUAGGCGGCCGUGCAAGUCGGAUGUGAAAUACCUCGGCUCAACUGAGGAAGUGCACCCGAAACUGCGUGGCUAGAGUCCCGGAGAGGAAGGUGGAAUGCUUGGUGUAGAGGUGAAAUUCGUAGAUAUCAAGCGGAACACCGGUGGCGAAGGCGGCCUUCUGGACGGUGACUGACGCUGAGACGCGAAAGCGUGGGGAGCAAACAGGAUUAGAUACCCUGGUAGUCCACGCCGUAAACGAUG
rnacentral:rRNA from 1 species